rnacentral:rRNA from 1 species
CCUACGGGGGGCAGCAGUGAGGAAUAUUGGUCAAUGGACGAGAGUCUGAACCAGCCAAGUAGCGUGAAGGAUGACUGCCCUAUGGGUUGUAAACUUCUUUUAUAUGGGAAUAAAACAGGGUAUGCAUACCCUCUUGUAUGUACCAUAUGAAUAAGGAUCGGCUAACUCCGUGCCAGCAGCCGCGGUAAUACGGAGGAUCCGAGCGUUAUCCGGAUUUAUUGGGGUUAAAGGGAGCGUAGGUGGAUUGUUAAGUCAGUUGUAAAAGUUUGCGGCUCAACCGUAAAAUUGCAGUUGAAACUGGCAGUCUUGAGUACAGUAGAGGUGUGCGGAAUUCGUGGUGUAGCGGUGAAAUGCUUAGAUAUCACGAAGAACUCCGAUUGCGAAGGCAGCUCACUGGACUGCAACUGACACUGAUGCUCGAAAGUGUGGGUAUCAAACAGGAUUAGAUACCCCAGUAGUC